AUUAUUUUUUUAGAUUCUUUUUUAUUGUUGAAAAAAUUAAAAACAAAUUGUUUUUUACCAUAAUUAAAAUUUAUAAUAUUUCAAUUUUUAAUUUUUAGUUUUAAAUAAAAAUUACAAAUAUGAAAAAUAAAAAAAAUUAUGGUGC
rnacentral:rRNA from 1 species